UGGGGAAUAUUGGACAAUGGGCGCAAGCCUGAUCCAGCCAUGCCGCGUGAGUGAUGAAGGCCCUAGGGUUGUAAAGCUCUUUCAACGGUGAAGAUAAUGACGGUAACCGUAGAAGAAGCCCCGGCUAACUUCGUGC
rnacentral:rRNA from 1 species